rnacentral:rRNA from 1 species
AUUGAACGCUGGCGGCAUGCUUUACACAUGCAAGUCGAACGGUAACAGGCCGCAAGGUGCUGACGAGUGGCGAACGGGUGCGUAAUGCAUCGGAACGUGCCCCGUCGUGGGGGAUAACUACUCGCAAGAGUAGCUAAUACCGCAUACGAUCUAUGGAUGAAAGCGGGGGACCGUAAGGCCUCGCGCGAUUGGAGCGGCCGAUGUCAGAUUAGGUAGUUGGUGGGGUAAAGGCUCACCAAGCCAACGAUCUGUAGCUGGUCUGAGAGGACAACCAGCCACACUGGGACUGAGACACGGCCCAGACUCCUACGGGAGGCAGCAGUGGGGAAUUUUGGACAAUGGGCGCAAGCCUGAUCCAGCAAUGCCGCGUGCAGGAAGAAGGCCUUCGGGUUGUAAACUGCUUUUGUACGGAACGAAACGGCUCUGGUUAAUACCCGGGGCUAAUGACGGUACCGGAAGAAUAAGCACCGGCUAACUACGUG